rnacentral:rRNA from 1 species
GUCUAUGGCCAUGCUACACUGAACAAGCCUGAUCUUGUCUGAUCUUGGACCUAAGGAGGGUCGGGCCUGGGUAGACAUGGAUGGGAGACCACCUAGGAAGAUCAGAUGCUGUAUACA